rnacentral:rRNA from 1 species
GCAGCAGUGGGGAAUAUUGCACAAUGGGCGCAAGCCUGAUGCAGCCAUGCCGCGUGUAUGAAGAAGGCCUUCGGGUUGUAAAGUACUUUCAGCGGGGAGGAAGGCGAUAAGGUUAAUAACCUUGUCGAUUGACGUUACCCGCAGAAGAAGCACCGGCUAACUCCGUG